rnacentral:rRNA from 1 species
GAUGAACGCUGGCGGCGUGCUUAACACAUGCAAGUCGAACGAAGCACUUUGGGCAGAUUCUUCGGAUGAAGUCCUUAGUGACUGAGUGGCGGACGGGUGAGUAACGCGUGGGUAACCUGCCUCAUACAGGGGGAUAACAGUUAGAAAUGGCUGCUAAUACCGCAUAAGCGCACGGUACUGCAUGGUACAGUGUGAAAAAACUCCGGUGGUAUGAGAUGGACCCGCGUUGGAUUAGCUAGUUGGCAGGGUAACGGCCUACCAAGGCGACGAUCCAUAGCCGGCCUGAGAGGGUGGACGGCCACAUUGGGACUGAGACACGGCCCAGACUCCUACGGGAGGCAGCAGUGGGGAAUAUUGCACAAUGGGGGAAACCCUGAUGCAGCGACGCCGCGUGAGCGAAGAAGUAUUUCGGUAUGUAAAGCUCUAUCAGCAGGGAAGAAAA